CCGGGCGCCUGUCGGGCCCGGCGAACUGCCUGGGCGCAGGACCGGUCCCGUACCAACCAGGUCUGGCACCGGCCUUGCGCUCCUUCGUAUCCAUCUUGCUCUCAGGAGGACCUGGCUAUGAGGA
rnacentral:sRNA from 1 species